rnacentral:rRNA from 1 species
GCCAGACUCCUACGGGAGGCAGCAGUGGGGAAUAUUGCACAAUGGGGGAAACCCUGAUGCAGCGACGCCGCGUGAGUGAAGAAGUAUUUCGGUAUGUAAAGCUCUAUCAGCAGGGAAGAAAAUGACGGUACCUGACUAAGAAGCCCCGGCUAACUACGUGCCAGCAGCCGCGGUAAUACGUAGGGGGCAAGCGUUAUCCGGAUUUACUGGGUGUAAAGGGAGCGUAGACGGUAGAGCAAGUCUGAAGUGAAAGCCCGCGGCUCAACUGCGGGACUGCUUUGGAAACUGUUCAACUGGAGUGCUGGAGAGGUAAGCGGAAUUCCUAGUGUAGCGGUGAAAUGCGUAGAUAUUAGGAGGAACACCAGUGGCGAAGGCGGCUUACUGGACAGUAACUGACGUUGAGGCUCGAAAGCGUGGGGAGCACACAGGAUUAGAUACCCUAGUAU